GACGAACGCUGGCGGCGUGCUUAACACAUGCAAGUCGAACGGAAAGGCCCUGCUUUUGUGGGGUGCUCGAGUGGCGAACGGGUGAGUAACACGUGAGUAACCUGCCCUUGACUUUGGGAUAACUUCAGGAAACUGGGGCUAAUACCGGAUAGGAGCUCCUGCUGCAUGGUGGGGGUUGGAAAGUUUCGGCGGUUGGGGAUGGACUCGCGGCUUAUCAGCUGGUUGGGGGGGUAGUGGCUUACCAAGGCUUUGACGGGUAGCCGGCCUGAGAGGGUGACCGGCCAGCUUGGGACGGAGUGAGGGCCGAGACACCUACGGGAGGGAGCAGUGGGGAGUGUUGCUCAAGGGACGGACGCCUGAUGCAGCAACGCAGGGUGCGGGAAGGAGGCAUUCGGGUUGUAAGCAGCUUUCGCCUGUGACGAAGCGUAAGUGAGGGUAAUGGGUAAGAAGGCACCGGCAACUUACGU
rnacentral:rRNA from 1 species